CCCUGUUCCUUGAAUUGCCCUGGGAGAUUUCCUCAGCUUGUACUGGAGGAUGAAGCCCCACCCGCCCUUCAGGAUGCCAGCCUUGGCAACAUUGUGAGACCCUGUUUCUACAAAAAGUAAACGUGUAGUGGUGCACGCCUGUAGUUCCAGCUACUUGGGAGGCUGAGAUGGGAAGAUCACUUGAGCCUGGGAGGUUGAGGCUGCAUUGAGCUGAGAUCAAGCCACGGCACUCCAGCCUGGGAGACAGAGCGAAACCCCAUCUCAAAAAAACAAAGAAAGUGGAUGCGCGCUGCUCCUGCCAUUGGAUCAUCGCAGCAUUUUUCUUUUCUCUGAUAUGCGCCUUUUUCCUCAUCGUGGGGGCUCAUGUUUUC
rnacentral:lncRNA from 10 species